UCCAUCUCAACCAGGUGCGGUCGCGGCCCCCGGGGGCUAUGAACCCGGGUGGUAGGGGUAACACCUUCACGCGCCGCGCUCCUGAAUCCUUUUUUUACGAGCACCUUUCGUUCUCCUUCGGCGGGGCAACCUGCCGUUGGAACUUAACAAAACCUUUUUUGCAUCUAGCAUUACCUGUUCUGAUACAAAUAAUCGUUA
rnacentral:misc_RNA from 1 species